GCACCCGUAGCUCAGCUGGAUAGAGCGUUGGUUUCCGGUACCAGAGGCCACAGGUUCGAAUCCUGUCGGGUGCGCCA
rnacentral:tRNA from 1 species